rnacentral:rRNA from 1 species
GACGAACGCUGGCGGCGCGCCUAACACAUGCAAGUCGAGCGGAGCUGAGAGAAGCUUGCUUUUCUUAGCUUAGUGGCGAACGGGUGAGUAACGCGUGAGUAACCUGCCCUGGAGUGGGGGACAACAGUUGGAAACGACUGCUAAUACCGCAUAAGCCCACGAUCCGGCAUCGGAUUGAGGGAAAAGGAUUUAUUCGCUUCAGGAUGGACUCGCGUCCAAUUAGCUAGUUGGUGAGGUAACGGCCCACCAAGGCGACGAUUGGUAGCCGGACUGAGAGGUUGAACGGCCACAUUGGGACUGAGACACGGCCCAGACUCCUACGGGAAGCAGCAGUGGGGGAUAUUGCACAAUGGGGGAAACCCUGAUGCAGCGACGCCGCGUGGAGGAAGAAGGUUUUCGGAUUGUAAACUCCUGUCGUUAGGGACGAUAAUGACGGUACCUAACAAGAAAGCACCGGCUAACUACGUG